rnacentral:rRNA from 1 species
AUUGAACGCCGGCGGCAGGCUUAACACAUGCAAGUCGAGCGGGGUGAUGGUGCUUGCACUAUCACUUAGCGGCGGACGGGUGAGUAAUGCUUAGGAAUCUGCCUAUUAGUGGGGGACAACAUCUCGAAAGGGAUGCUAAUACCGCGUACGUCCUACGGGAGCACGCAGGGGAUCACUUGUGACCUUGCGCUAAUAGAUGAGCCUAAGUCGGAUUAGCUAGUUGGUGGGGUAAAGGCCUACCAAGGCGACGAUCUGUAGCGGGUCUGAGAGGAUGAUCCGCCACACUGGGACUGAGACACGGCCCAGACUCCUACGGGAGGCAGCAAUGGGGAAUAUUGGACAAUGGGGGGAACCCUGAUCCAGCCAUGCCGCGUGUGUGAAGAAGGCCUUAUGGUUGUAAAGCACUUUAAGCGAGGAGGAGGCUCUUUUGGUUAAUACCCAAGAUGAGUGGACGUUACUCGCAGAAUAAGCACCGGCUAACUCUGUGCCAGCAGCCGCCGUAA